UAUCGUCGCUCGCACGCUUCCUCCUCCCAAUCCUCUCGCUCGCUGUCCUCCCAAUCCCCUCGUCGCUCUCCUCUCUCCCACCCUGCUUUGCUGCCAUCCACCCUCCUCCUCCACCGUUCGGGUCACCGCGCGCGUCUCUCAGUCGAGCUCGCAGCGCCGCAUCGCCAGGAGGAAUCCCAGGCCGCCGCUCGCAACACCACCUCGCGCCAUCACCGGGAGUAGCAGCACUGGACUUCGCCUCUUCCAGCCCCGCAACCACACAGCCUCUGAGCAUAAGAGAGAAGAGGGAUGGAGUAAUAUAGACCGAAGCAUGAGAAGAAGAUAAAGGAGCAGAUACGUUUCCUCCAUCUCUGGUCCUCUUUAUGUGCGCUUGCAGAUUCAUCAAGAGAUGAUAGAAGGGACUGAGACAAGGAGAGACGGCAUUGAUUUGCACGCACUGGAGCAUGUGCCCGAUGGCUUGAUUGCACUGCAGGAUUUCCUGUUCAUGUAUUAUUCAAAGUAGAGCUGAGUGGAUUGCAGAAUUGCACUGGUGCAUAUGUGCUUCUGCAUCAGGUCACGGUCCAUCUGCCCCAGUAGCUCUUGGUGGGAGAUGUACGUUCCAAUGAAUAGAAUUUUCCAUUUAUAUGUGAGGGCUUCAUUAUUCUCUAAAAUCAAUUGAAGAUUGAUCUGAACCAAGAAGCAACUGUGUAUCAGAUUCAGGGUUAUUCUUCGUGCGGCGCAUUGGCUACAACUAUGGGCAUAUCUGCUCCCGUCGGACCAGCGUGAUACUAUGGUUACUGGAUGCAACCGGCUCCUGGAGGUCACUCAGGACUGCUAUUUCCAGGCUACUGGAUGGCGUCACAUUAGCAGGAUUCUAGACGGAUAGUUUUGGUCUUAUAUUCGUCUGCAGAUGUUUCGAUCCGUUUUGUUUUAGUGAUCUUUGUUUACCAGACAUGUUCUUUGUAAUAAGCACUUGACUUUAACGUUUAUUUUAUUAAUAAAGGGCUGUGUGCAUCGAUUGAUGCAGAGGCCGGGGCCAUGCUCCCAUAUCUAAAAAAAAAAAAAA